rnacentral:lncRNA from 1 species
UCAUCUCGUCCGAUCUGCAAGUUAAUUUCCGUGCAAUUUUGUUAAUCUUCUUGGUGAAUACUGCAUAUGUGAUAUAGGUUUUAGUUUCGUUUUGUUAAUUCGAUUCCGCUGAUGGGGGGUAAGCUCUUUUCUUGCUUCGUGAGCUGGUAGAUUGGGUUAUGGGUGAAGCAGUAUUUAGCCAUCUGGACUGUAUAUUGGUUCCUUCUGGACCGUACAUAAUCUGAUGUGCUUAGGGGUUACUGAAUUAGGGGUAUGGGACUAUGAGCUCUGCGUUCCGUAUGCACCGUUCCUGACCGAUUGUCCUUGCACUUGUAGCAUGUGAUUGACUUUUUUGCAACCUGUAGGAUAAUCUGCCUUCUUGCGGUGUUUCUUCCUGAUUAAUCCGCCGUGCUAGAGGAAGAAGACUAGGAAAAAUAAGAAAUUGAUAAUUGUUUUUCUAGUAGAUUCUGACACAAUCUUAUCUCGGAGUUUCGCAUUGAGCACCAGGGUUUCUUUCUCCGUAAUAACAAGUAUUUGCAACUAUCCGAUACAGACAGUAAAGUUUUCCUUUCCGAAAAGUCUGGUUGUGUCUUAAUCAUGUGACUUCUGCAGCUUAGAUGCUUCAUGUUUAGAACCCCUGUGAUACACCAGCUAGCCAUCCAGUCUUCCCUGUUUCUAUUCUCUUUGUUUUGAGAGUUAGUGUUGAGCAAUGUUUGGAACUCUGCUACAACAUAUUUAUUGAAGUUUUAACAGGUUGCUGUGCACGUUAUUGGUCUUGUUACAGUUCUAUUACAGUCAUUGCUUGUCCGGAUCUAAUCUUGUACAGUUGUAACAAAAAAAUUUCAGAUUUGGAUUUUGUCUGUACCUUUUCUUGCAACUCAGAACAUGUUCUUCAUCUUUAUGUUUCUUUAUAAAUAAUAAAAUUCCCCAAGCAAUCUAGUGCAGCCUUUAGGAAUUACCCAAGAGAUACUUUUUGGCUUUCUAAAGAUUUCUUAUUAUGUUUUCCUUAUGUACCGUGAACGGGGGUGUCAUGGAUAGACCUUUUGUAUUUCACCAUCUAAUAUGGUGAUCUUACACACUAACUUAUACUCCCUCCGUCCCAUAUUAAAUGACUCAAAUUUGUCCAAAUAUGGAUGAAUCUAUGCCUAAAAAGUGUCUAGAUACAUGUAAUAGAAAGUCACUUAAUAUGAGACGGAGGGAGUAAUAAACAGUCCUUUGCAUCUCUAAGAUCUGAUAAGUUGUUUCUUUUCUUCUUUCAAGCUUUCAGUGAAGUCAUACUGAAGGAUUUAAAGAAAAGGAAAAAUAAAAUUAAUCUAUUUUUUUCAUAUUGCUUUAUUCGUUUUAGUUAACUUCUUUCUUUCACCACAAUGCAAGUAUUCUUAACAGUUCAAAUCAACCUAUGUUAGUGUGAUGUAUUUAUAAUGCUUGUUUUCUGAAUUUGACUCUGUUGACAAUGCUUGGUUCCUGAAUUUGGUGAUGAGAGGGACCCUUUUGUCAUUUAUGCAAAAUAAUUUUAAUUUGGUGAUGAGAGGGACCCUUUUUUUCAUUUGUGUUACUGAUAACUUCCCAUUUAGGUUAUAUAUAAUUGAUAUUACACAUACUUGCUGAUAUCCUGAUUUUGUAAGCAGCCUUUGCCAGUUUCCACUAUCAACUUCCGCAAUGGGUGGAAGCAACUACGACGAUGACUGGGUGUUGCCCAGUGCUGACAUCACUGUAGUUCUUGUUGGGAAACUUGGCUAUGGCAAGAGUGCAACUGGCAAUAGUAUCCUUGGACGGGAAGCAUUUGUAUCAGAAUACUCCCAUGCUAGUGUGACUAAUACUUGUCAGAUGGGAAGCACCAUGCUGAAAGAUGGCCGCACAAUCAAUGUAAUUGAUACACCAGGUAAGCGUGCAUGUGUUGUUGUAAUUGAUAUAGAUAUUCAUAUCUAUUGAUCUUGUGGAUGUUCUGAAUUUAUGAUACCUAUACACUGCAUAUUGUGUAUUGAUCUCAAUUUUUGAAUGGUUAUGUUAAGAUGUUUGAUAUAGUAUCUUUGGAUAUUGGAUUUGGAUAUCAUAUUCUAUUAAAUAAAUAAUACUCCCUCCGAUCCUAAUUUCUUGUCAUGGUUUUAGUACAAAUUCUUCCCGUGGUUUUAGUACAAAUUCUUGCCGUGGUUUUAGCAGGUUCAUGCAUUGUUUUUUAAAUAAAAAUAAAAUUCUUUAUGUAUUUUUUGGGCAUGAUGCCAUUGUGGAAACAAGGAAACGAGUAAAAUUAUUUUAUUUGCGCAAAGAUUGAUCCACGUAUGUAUAAUGAUAAAAAAAAUAUACAGAGCCAUCAGUUAUUCAUUAUGUGACUGUUCAUGUUCAUUAUUAUUUGCUGAUCGCCAUUGCAAUGCUGCCUUGGAUAGGAUUAUUUGACAUGAGCGUAACACCUGAAGAUGCUGGCAAAGAAAUUGUGAAGUGUAUGAACAUGGCUAAAGAUGGGAUACAUGCAGUGUUGAUGGUUUUUUCUGCUACAUCUCGAUUUUCUCGAGAAGAUUCUAGUACAAUUGAGACUAUUAAGGUGUUUUUUGGAGAGAAAAUUGUUGAUCAUUUGAUCUUGGUUUUCACUUACGGAGAUUUAGUUGGUGAAAAUUUGUUGAAGAACAUGCUCAGUAAUGCCCCAGAAUAUCUGCAGGUAUUUUUUUUCUCCACCUCCGAACUCCAAACGUGCAUGGUUCUUUUAUUUUGUCGGUUGCAUUAUAUGAUGUUAUAUGUGCAAAUAGUUACAUUUAUAUAUUAUGUUUACAGAAAGUUGUUGAGCUAUGCAAAAACAGAGUUGUUCUUUUUGAUAACAAGACCAAGGAUCAAAGGAUUCAAGCUAAGCAGCUCGAAAUGUUGCUUGAUGUGGUUGAUUCUGUUAGUGCAAAUAAUGGAGGAAAACCAUUUUCAGAUCAAAUGCUCACUCGCAUCAAGGUAUUAAGUUUUGUUAUUGACAUGGAGUUCCAGAUUCUCAUUCCUAUCCUGUAUUGUGUGGUUCUUAUGGGUUAUCUCAUCUUGUAGGAGGUGCAUGAGAGAGAAAAGGAGGUUCAUGAUGUCAUGGGAUAUACAGAAGAGCAGAUAUCUGAACUAAAGAAGGAGAUCCAUAGAACCCGGGAUGAACAACUUGCAAGCAUUACCGCUAUGGUAAGACAUACAAUUUUUUCUAUAAAUAAUAAUUCACAUUUAAUCAUGUAUUUUAAUAAAAAAAUAACCCUGUCCCAAAACUUAUCCUUUGUUUACAAUGGCAUGUGUUUCUAAUGAUGCUAUGCUCCUUCACAUCUUUCUAAUGAUGUUGUAUUAGCUGAUAUUGCUCCAGAUAUAGUAAGUGUGCCUGGAACAUGUAUGGAAAUUACCUAGGUCAAGGUCUAUUGAUACAUAACAUUUCAUUAUUACUAUUUUACACAAGUCGCAGGAUAUUCUUUGACAUUUAAAUACUACGGAGUAUUUGUGAAAAUAGUUGUGGGAUUCUUUUGGUUGGAAAAAGUACCAGGACUUUUUAUCUUCAGUUCUUCUUACAAUCACCUCAUGUAUUGGAUCUUCAGCAUUUUCAGAGAUUGUAAAACCUGUCGUGCUGGAAUUACAAUUACUUCUAUUUCUAUAUGUUGGAUCUUCAACUUAUUAAGAUCCCACCUCUAUGUAUUGGAUCUUCAGCAUUUUUAGAGAUUGUGUAAAACCUGAUGUGCUGGACUUACAAUCACUUCUAUAUGUUUGAUCUUCAACUUAUUGAGAUCCCACUUCUAUGUAUCGGGUCUUCAGCAUUUUUAGAGAUUGUAAAACCUGAUGUGCGGAAUUACAAUCACUUCUAUAUGUUGCAAUUUAUGAUUAUUUAGAAAUUGCAUUUGACUUGACAUUUUCAUAGGUGGAGGAUAAGCUGAACUGCACUGUGGAGAAGCUGCAAAACCAACUUAUGGAAGAACAAAAUGCAAGAUUAGAAGCAGAGAGGGUGGCGUUAGAGGCCAGGGUGAGAUCAGAUGAGGAGAUACGCAAGCUCAAGGAGAGCCUGAAGGAGGCCCAGCGGGAAAACGAGGAAUUCCGGAGGCUGGCUCACAACAACAAGUGCACUAUUCUGUAAGCAGUUUCCCAUUCGGAAAGUUGUUGGUUGCGUGCUGAUGCUUUUACGCAUUGGUAACAGAGGACGCCAGUAAUCUUAAGCCAGUCUUGUACUACGGAGUAAUAGAUAUCUUAGUGUGUCGUCUCGUAUCUUUUUUCUUUUAACUGAUAUCUUAGUUCGAUGUGAAUACCUGAGUCGUUUACCCGUUGAAGUUUAUCACGUUUUUUCUGUGCAGUGUUUUGAGAGUGGUGCAUGCAUGAAACAUCUCAUGUACUGUUUGCGAUAAGAAAUACAGUAUUGCAGAGAGUUUUCAAAACCCGUUUGUUUAAUGCUAUACUCCAUUUGAUAGGCGUGCCUUUCGGUACCGUUGAUUGAUGGUGUUCAUUUUGAAGAUUGAGGGCCCCUUCAAUUCAAAUUAAUUUCAUAGGAAGUUUGGAGGAUUUGAAUCCUUAGGAUUUUUUUUUCCUAUAUGAGUUGUUUGAUUUGUAGGAUUGAACCUCAUGGAAAAUUUUCCUAAAGAUUCCAUUGCACUACAUUUCAUUGGAAUUCUCCAUUCACUCCAACCUCUUUAAAAUUCCUUUGUCUUUUUUCUGUGUUAAAUCAAACAAACAUUGAUCUAACCACAAUCCUACAGGAUUCAAAUGGGCAUGGCAUUGCAAUCCUGCGAUUUUCCUGUUCCUGUGUUUUUCCUAUCUCGCCAAUCAAAGAGGCCCUAAACCGGGUGUUCUCCGACCUUUAGUUGAAACAAAUGAACUAGUUUUUCAAAAAAAAAUGUGACCCUUAGUUGGAACAAAGUUCAUUUGGUAGAAAUGAAAUGAAAUGUAAUUUUUGGUAGGAUUUUAUUUGGUUGAAUUUAAAUUCCAGGUUAAAAAAUCAUGUUUGUCUACCACAUGGAUUUGUAGAGUGGGACAAAUUCGGCUUUAAUAGAGGAAUUAAGGUUAGUUAUAUAGUGUGAUUGCAUGAAAUUUUAGAUUGAAUUCAUGUAUCCAAUUUCGUGUACCAACCAAAAAAAUUGGUUUCUAAAAUCCUAAAUGAAUUUCAGAAUUAUAAUCCGAAAUGAUGACUGUCAAGCUGUUAGUUCAUUUAUUUGAACUAAACAGGGUCACCUUUUGCACCUCUGCUCGCCGCGUGCCGCCGCGCAGCGCUCGCAGCAACCACCUUCCUCCGCUGCAGCGUGACCGCGCCGCCACCAUAGAUGGGCCUUCCAGCAGCCUUAUUUGUGCAACUUUAUCCAGGAAGCGCAACACCGCAAUCGCACUUCCAGCCCAGGCAGAUAAUCACUCCCACGAUUUGUUUGGCUCGUUGAGUCGCCGGACCCUAUUUGUAUCACUGUUAUCUUAGCUAAUGAAUAAAGUGGUGGCUGCUUUCUCAAAAAAAAAAGAAAGAUAAUCACUCCCACGAGCCUCCCAAGUCACAAGUAUUGCAAUAUCGCCCACAUGCUAUCCAUAACGAUGCAAGAUUUUCUUAAUCAGAAAACAGGAAGAGGGGGAGAUUCCUGAGCCACAUGCCUGGAUGAGUUGGUGCAAGCGAAUUCCUGCCCCCUCUUCCUAGGCCCUGCUCCUCAGCUCCCCCACCACCCAUCACUCGACCAAUCAA